CUUGAUUGAGCAAAGAUUGACUGGACAGCCAAAGAAGGUAGAGGGAGAAUAAUGGAGGACUCGUAAUGGAUAGAGAAUGGGGAAGUUAUGGAUGAGGUGGAGGUUGUAGUUCUACGAAAGAGAAAUGAUGAGGGAGUGGAAGCGGGUGGCCAAGUUCCAGUGUAUUGAUGUUUUGCAGAAAGGACCUUCCAACUAACAAAUGCAUCUAUCUAUUUGUGUACACCGGAUCGUCUUGUUUAUCUACUAUUUACCAGACUGGAAUUUCCUAGAUACUCCUUCCGUUCAUGUUUAUGGUUAUAAACUUCUAAUCAUUGGAGAGUACAUCUAAUUACAAAUCCAACCAUGUCAAAUUGUCAUGACAAAAAUAAAUAAUUAUUGUCUUAAUUGUUGGUCAAAGAUUGAAAACUUUGAAUCUUGAAAUGCGUGUGUGUCGAGCAUACACCCCAGGCCAUUACUGAGUAGAACUCUAUAAUAGUACCCGACUAGAACUCAAACUUGU
rnacentral:lncRNA from 1 species